CUACGGGCGGCAGCAGUGAGGAAUAUUGCACAAUGGGGGGAACCCUGAUGCAGCAACGCCGCGUGGAGGAUGACGCAUUUCGGUGUGUAAACUCCUUUUAUAUGUCAAGAAAAUGACGGUAGCAUAUGAAUAAGCACCGGCUAACUCCGUGCCAGCGGCCGCGGUAAUACGGAGGGUGCAAGCGUUACUCGGAAUCACUGGGCGUAAAGGACGCGUAGGCGGGUUGGAAAGUCAGGUGUGAAAUCCCACAGCUUAACUGUAGAACUGCACUUGAAACUUCUAAUCUAGAGUAUGGGAGGGGGAGAUGGAAUUAGUGGUGUAGGGGUAAAAUCCGUAGAUAUCACUAGGAAUACCUAAAGCGAAGGCGAUCUCCUGGAACAUUACUGACGCUAAGGCGUGAAAGCGUGGGGAGCACACAGGAUUAGAUACCCUCGUAGUC
rnacentral:rRNA from 1 species